AUUGAACGCUGGCGGCAGGCCUAACACAUGCAAGUCGAGCGGUAGAGAGGUGCUUGCAUCUCUUGAGAGCGGCGGACGGGUGAGUAAUGCCUAGGAAUCUGCCUAGUGUGGGGGAUAACGUUCGGAAACGGACGCUAAUACCGCAUACGUCCUACGGGAGAAAGCGGGGGAUCUUCGGACCUCGCGCCAUUAGAUGAGCCUAGGUCGGAUUAGCUAGUUGGUGAGGUAAUGGCUCACCAAGGCGACGAUCCGUAACUGGUCUGAGAGGAUGAUCAGUCACACUGGAACUGAGACACGGUCCAGACUCCUACGGGAGGCAGCAGUGGGAAUUUUGGACAAUGGGCGCAAGCCUGAUCCAGCAAUGCCGCGUGCGA
rnacentral:rRNA from 1 species